UCUGCCCAUGCAAAUCGACUUGGCUUCAAGAAGACAUCCAGGCAGCUUGGAGAAGCGUCCCUCUGUUCCUCACUCUGGGUUUCAUCUCUGGUAAGCACUGACCCAUCCAGACAGACAUGGCCCCUCUCCUGGUCGUCUUCUGCCUGCUGGCUGCUCUCCACGGUGUCGAGGCUGAGGACCCUCUCGUGCAAUGGGGAGGUGGAGUGGUGGUCUCCUCACAGACACUCAGCCUCACCUGUGCCGCCUACAAACGCAAAGUUUCAGAAUAUUCCCUGUGGUGGAUUCGCCUUCUCCCAGGGAAGGGGUUGGAGUGCGUAGGUGUGAUCUGGGCUAAGGGGGACACUCAGUGCAGCCCCCACCUGCAGUCUCGAGUCAGCAUCUCCAGGGACGCCACCAAGAACCAAGUGUUCUUACAGCUGAGCAGUGUGAUGCCUGAGGAUUCAGGCGUGUAUUACUGUGCUCAAGACACUGUGAUACAAAUGCUGUGAGAGCCCAGAC